rnacentral:rRNA from 1 species
CCUACGGGGUGCAGCAGUGGGGAAUAUUGGACAAUGGGCGAAAGCCUGAUCCAGCCAUGCCGCGUGUGUGAAGAAGGCCUUCGGGUUGUAAAGCACUUUCAGUGGGGAAGAAAGCCUUGGGGCUAAUACCCUCGAGGAAGGACAUCACCCACAGAAGAAGCACCGGCUAACUCCGUGCCAGCAGCCGCGGUAAUACGGAGGGUGCGAGCGUUAAUCGGAAUUACUGGGCGUAAAGCGCGCGUAGGCGGUCUGAUAAGCCGGUUGUGAAAGCCCCGGGCUCAACCUGGGAACGGCAUCCGGAACUGUCAGGCUAGAGUGCAUGAGAGGAAGGUAGAAUUCCCGGUGUAGCGGUGAAAUGCGUAGAGAUCGGGAGGAAUACCAGUGGCGAAGGCGGCCUUCUGGACUGACACUGACGCUGAGGUGCGAAAGCGUGGGUAGCAAACAGGAUUAGAUACCCGAGUAGUC